rnacentral:rRNA from 1 species
AACGAACGCUGGCGGCAUGCCUAACACAUGCAAGUCGAACGAGACCUUCGGGUCUAGUGGCGCACGGGUGCGUAACGCGUGGGAACCUGCCCUUAGGUUCGGAAUAACUCCCCGAAAGGGGUGCUAAUACCGGAUAAUGUCUUCGGACCAAAGAUUUAUCGCCUUUGGAUGGGCCCGCGUUGGAUUAGCUAGUUGGUAGGGUAAAAGCCUACCAAGGCGACGAUCCAUAGCUUGUCUGAGAGGAUGAUCAGCCACACUGGGACUGAGACACGGCCCAGACUCCUACGGGAGGCAGCAGUGGGGAAUAUUGGACAAUGGGCGAAAGCCUGAUCCAGCAAUGCCGCGUGAGUGAUGAAGGCCUUAGGGUUGUAAAGCUCUUUUACCCGGGAUGAUAAUGACAGUACCGGGAGAAUAAGCGCCGGCUAACUCCGUG